rnacentral:rRNA from 1 species
UACGUAGGGGGCAAGCGUUGUCCGGAUUUAUUGGGCGUAAAGAGCGUGUAGGCGGCCGUACAGGUCAGCUGUGAAAACUCGAGGCUCAACCUCGAGACGUCGGUUGAAACCGUACGGCUAGAGUCCGGAAGAGGAGAGUGGAAUUCCCGGUGUAGCGGUGAAAUGCGCAGAUAUCGGGAAGAACACCCGUGGCGAAGGCGGUCUC